AGGCACACCCGGAGAACUGAAACAUCUUAGUACCCGGAGGAAGAGAAAGAAAAUUCGAUUCCCUUAGUAGCGGCGAGCGAAAUGGGAAGAGCCCAAACCAACAAGCUUGCUUGUUGGGGUUGUAGGACACUCUAUACGGAGUUACAAAGGACGACAUUAGACGAAUCAUCUGGAAAGAUGAAUCAAAGAAGGUAAUAAUCCUGUAGUCGAAAAUGUUGUCUCUCUUGAGUGGAUCCUGAGUACGACGGAGCACGUGAAAUUCCGUCGGAAUCUGGGAGGACCAUCUCCUAAGGCUAAAUACUCUCUAGUGACCGAUAGUGAACCAGUACCGUGAGGGAAAGGUGAAAAGCACCCCGGAAGGGGAGUGAAAUAGAACCUGAAACCGUGUGCUUACAAGUAGUCAGAGCCCGUUAAUGGGUGAUGGCGUGCCUUUUGUAGAAUGAACCGGCGAGUUACGAUUUGAUGCAAGGUUAAGCAGUAAAUGUGGAGCCGUAGCGAAAGCGAGUCUGAAUAGGGCGUUUAGUAUUUGGUCGUAGACCCGAAACCAGGUGAUCUACCCUUGGUCAGGUUGAAGUUCAGGUAACACUGAAUGGAGGACCGAACCGACUUACGUUGAAAAGUGAGCGGAUGAACUGAGGGUAGCGGAGAAAUUCCAAUCGAACCUGGAGAUAGCUGGUUCUCUCCGAAAUAGCUUUAGGGCUAGCCUCAAGUGAUGAUUAUUGGAGGUAGAGCACUGUUUGGACGAGGGGCCCCUCUCGGGUUACCGAAUUCAGACAAACUCCGAAUGCCAAUUAAUUUAACUUGGGAGUCAGAACAUGGGUGAUAAGGUCCGUGUUCGAAAGGGAAACAGCCCAGACCACCAGCUAAGGUCCCAAAAUAUAUGUUAAGUGGAAAAGGAUGUGGCGUUGCCCAGACAACUAGGAUGUUGGCUUAGAAGCAGCCAUCAUUUAAAGAGUGCGUAAUAGCUCACUAGUCGAGUGACACUGCGCCGAAAAUGUACCGGGGCUAAACAUAUUACCGAAGCUGUGGAUUGUCCUUUGGACAAUGGUAGGAGAGCGUUCUAAGGGCGUUGAAGCAUGAUCGUAAGGACAUGUGGAGCGCUUAGAAGUGAGAAUGCCGGUGUGAGUAGCGAAAGACGGGUGAGAAUCCCGUCCACCGAUUGACUAAGGUUUCCAGAGGAAGGCUCGUCCGCUCUGGGUUAGUCGGGUCCUAAGCUGAGGCCGACAGGCGUAGGCGAUGGAUAACAGGUUGAUAUUCCUGUACCACCUAUAAUCGUUUUAAUCGAUGGGGGGACGCAGUAGGAUAGGCGAAGCGUGCGAUUGGAUUGCACGUCUAAGCAGUAAGGCUGAGUAUUAGGCAAAUCCGGUACUCGUUAAGGCUGAGCUGUGAUGGGGAGAAGACAUUGUGUCUUCGAGUCGUUGAUUUCACACUGCCGAGAAAAGCCUCUAGAUAGAAAAUAGGUGCCCGUACCGCAAACCGACACAGGUAGUCAAGAUGAGAAUUCUAAGGUGAGCGAGCGAACUCUCGUUAAGGAACUCGGCAAAAUGACCCCGUAACUUCGGGAGAAGGGGUGCUCUUUAGGGUUAACGCCCAGAAGAGCCGCAGUGAAUAGGCCCAAGCGACUGUUUAUCAAAAACACAGGUCUCUGCUAAACCGUAAGGUGAUGUAUAGGGGCUGACGCCUGCCCGGUGCUGGAAGGUUAAGAGGAGUGGUUAGCUUCUGCGAAGCUACGAAUCGAAGCCCCAGUAAACGGCGGCCGUAACUAUAACGGUCCUAAGGUAGCGAAAUUCCUUGUCGGGUAAGUUCCGACCCGCACGAAAGGCGUAACGAUUUGGGCACUGUCUCAACGAGAGACUCGGUGAAAUCAUAGUACCUGUGAAGAUGCAGGUUACCCGCGACAGGACGGAAAGACCCCGUGGAGCUUUACUGUAGCCUGAUAUUGAAAUUCGGCACAGCUUGUACAGGAUAGGUAGGAGCCUUUGAAACGUGAGCGCUAGCUUACGUGGAGGCGCUGGUGGGAUACUACCCUAGCUGUGUUGGCUUUCUAACCCGCACCACUUAUCGUGGUGGGAGACAGUGUCAGGCGGGCAGUUUGACUGGGGCGGUCGCCUCCUAAAAGGUAACGGAGGCGCUCAAAGGUUCCCUCAGAAUGGUUGGAAAUCAUUCAUAGAGUGUAAAGGCAUAAGGGAGCUUGACUGCGAGACCUACAAGUCGAGCAGGGUCGAAAGACGGACUUAGUGAUCCGGUGGUUCCGCAUGGAAGGGCCAUCGCUCAACGGAUAAAAGCUACCCCGGGGAUAACAGGCUUAUCUCCCCCAAGAGUUCACAUCGACGGGGAGGUUUGGCACCUCGAUGUCGGCUCAUCGCAUCCUGGGGCUGUAGUCGGUCCCAAGGGUUGGGCUGUUCGCCCAUUAAAGCGGUACGCGAGCUGGGUUCAGAACGUCGUGAGACAGUUCGGUCCCUAUCCGUCGUGGGCGUAGGAAAUUUGAGAGGAGCUGUCCUUAGUACGAGAGGACCGGGAUGGACAUACCUCUGGUGUACCAGUUGUCGUGCCAACGGCAUAGCUGGGUAGCUAUGUGUGGACGGGAUAAGUGCUGAAAGCAUCUAAGCAUGAAGCCCCCCUCAAGAUGAGAUUUCCCAACUUCGGUUAUAAGAUCCCUCAAAGAUGAUGAGGUUAAUAGGUUCGAGGUGGAAGCAUGGUGACAUGUGGAGCUGACGAAUACUAAUCGAUCGAAGACUUAAUCAA
rnacentral:rRNA from 1 species